CCUACGGGAGGCAGCAGUAGGGAAUCUUCCACAAUGGACGAAAGUCUGAUGGAGCAACGCCGCGUGAGUGAUGAAGGUUUUCGGAUCGUAAAACUCUGUUGUAAGGGAAGAACAAGUACGAGAGGGAAUGCUCGUACCUUGACGGUACCUUGCGAGAAAGCCGCGGCUAACUACGUGCCAGCAGCCGCGGUAAUACGUAGGUGGCAAGCGUUGUCCGGAAUUAUUGGGCGUAAAGCGCGCGCAGGCGGCCUUUUAAGUCUGAUGUGAAAGCCCCCGGCUCAACCGGGGAGGGUCAUUGGAAACUGGAAGGCUUGAGUACAGAAGAGAAGAGUGGAAUUCCAUGUGUAGCGGUGAAAUGCGUAGAGAUGUGGAGGAACACCAGUGGCGAAGGCGACUCUUUGGUCUGUAACUGACGCUGAGGCGCGAAAGCGUGGGGAGCAAACAGGAUUAGAUACCCUGGUAGUCCACGCCGUAAACGAUGAGUGCUAGGUGGUUCGGGGGGUUUCCCGCCCCGUCACGUGCGUGAGACGUACGACAUAAGUACACUCCGCCGUCGGGGAGGUACGGCCGGCCGACGGACGUGAACGUUAAACGUAGUAGUUAGUACGGCGUGAGACGUGCCGACGGACGACGACGAGGGAGGAGG
rnacentral:rRNA from 1 species